GACGAACGCUGGCGGCGUGCUUAAUACAUGCAAGUCGAACGGAGAGGCCCUGCUCUUGUGCGGUGUUCGUGUGGCGCGCGGGUGUGUAUAACGCGUGUAACAUGCCCUUGACUUUGGGGUAAAUCCAGGGAACUGGGGCGAUUAUCGGGCAGAAGCACCUGCUGCACGGGGGGGGUUGGUAAGUUGCGGAGGUUGGGGACGGACACGCGGCAUAUCAUCUUGUUGGCGAGGUAGUGGCUUACCAAGGCAUUGACGGGUAGCCGGACUGAGAGGGUGACCGGCCACAUUGUGACAGAGGAGCCGGCCAGACGGCUACGGGGGCCAGCAGUGGGAAAUAGUGCACGAUGGGCGGAAGCCUGAUGCAGCGACGCCGCGUGCUAGAUGUCUGUCGUCAGGUUGUAAACCGCGUGCGCCUGGGACGAAGCGUGAGUGACGGUAAUUGGUAAAAAAGCACCGGCUAACUACGUG
rnacentral:rRNA from 1 species